GACGAACGCUGGCGGCGUGCUUAACACAUGCAAGUCGAGCGGUAAGGCUCUUUCGGGGGUACACGAGCGGCGAACGGGUGAGUAACACGUGGGUGACCUGCCCUUAGCUCUGGGAUAAGCCUGGGAAACUGGGUCUAAUACCGGAUAUGACUCCAUGACGCAUGUUGUGGGGUGGAAAGCCUUGUGCGGCUAGGGAUGGGCCCGCGGCCUAUCAGCUUGUUGGUGGGGUGAUGGCCUACCAAGGCGACGACGGGUAGCCGGCCUGAGAGGGCGACCGGCCACACUGGGACUGAGGCACGGCCCAGACUCCUACGGGAGGCAGCAGUGGGGAAUCUUGCGCAAUGGGCGAAAGCCUGACGCAGCGACGCCGCGUGGGGAUGACGGCCU
rnacentral:rRNA from 1 species